GGGCAGGCUAGCGCAGAGCUGGGCGCUGGGAAGAUGGUCUGUGCGCUGCAGGCUGCUGAGGCUCGGAGCUGUUGGCUGGCGUGUGGGCCAUCUGGCUGGGAAUGCUGACUUUCUUCCCACCCACACUCCUGUUCUCAGGCCCUUACUUGCCACUGCCGGAUGCAGGAUCCAUCUCCACCCCCGUCUCUGCGCCCUGCCCCGAGGAACAGGGCAGGCAACGGCAGCCAGAGAUAGGAGCUGAUGACAGUAGGGCAUGGAGUAGAGCCUACAAGGCUCCCUUAGAGCACCAACCUAUUGCGAUUAGAUGGUGAUGGGCUGAGACCACAGUAGAAGUUUGGAGGGCGGCUGGUACAGAUGCUGAUAAAACCCUGAGUGCGGAGAGGAAGUACUCUACAUUCAAGCCAGCAGCACCCAGAUCUGAGCCUCGGAGCCCAGGUCACCACAACUACACCGAGCCACCCGCUGCCACCACCUUCCAAAUCCCCAAAUGAGAACCCAGUGUGAUUUCUUAGCUUCCAGGGAAGCCCACCUCUUGGGGGAAGGGGGUGGCUGACAGGAGAACUGACAGCAGAAGGACACUGGGGUGACCAGUCUUCCGGCAUCAGCAGCUACCACCAGGAUAAGUAUCCCCAACCACACCCUUGCACUUCCAUCUCCUCUCCCUGAAGGUUCUAGACCAAAUCUCUCCAUCCAGACCCCAAUGAACGCUUUCUGGGUAACCAUACUGCCUUUUUUCUGAAUGUGAAUGGAUUUGCCUGGCAAAUGGUGAAAGUGGCUUUCUUGGCCCACUGGAUCAGCAUGGUGUGAAAGGUCUUGCCCUUUACUACAGGGGUAACAGGGUAUGGGGAACAAUGCCAGGCGAGCAGCCAGAAGACCCAGAUCCUCAGCCUGACUUGGCCAUUAACUUGUUUUAUGACCUUGGACAAAUCAUGCUGUAACAAUCUCUCUGCAUUUUUUUCAUGUAUAAAGUGAUGUGGGUGAUUUCUAAGGUUCUGGUCCCUUACGGAACCUACGUUUUAUCCUUUUACCUAGCUUCCAAGGAAUUCCCCUAUGGGGCACUACUAUUCUCUCGGAGCCAUGUUCCACUGUGUGAUGUCCCGUGAUGCCAAGGGAAAGAAACUUCUGGAACCCAUCAAUAGCCUUUCUUUGGAACCACUCUGCUGCCACAUAUUUCCCAGCCUUCAAAGACACAGAUGUCCUAUCUUGUCUGAUCGUUGGGGUAAGGACCCUGCCCUGUACCUGACCCACUAACUCAGUGCCCCGCACAGGUUGCAAAGGGGGUGUGUGGCAUCCACAUGAUCCACACGCAGUACAAGGACAGAGGUCCUACCCCACUGGCAGAGAGACACAGGUGAUGCUCACCAAGUUCAGAAGAGAAAAAGGGAGCACUUCACAAGCCUAGGAGUUGAGUAGCGCCCAGCACGGCUUGGCUCCUGUCCUCUGUUACCGGUAAUUCAGAACACCAAGGGAUGGAUGUGGAAAGGUGGACGCUUCCAACUCGCAGGAAGAGGAAAUGACGGAGAAGAAUCUGAGUGCGUUCAAGAGACUUGGCUACGAGCAGACUCGCUACAGCACUGUCUGCAGAAUGACCAGCGAGGACACAGACUUCCAACUGGUUUCCAAGCAAAAGUGUACAUUUGUACAAACUCAUGGUCUCUCUGUUCUGCAGACCACAGCCCCCCACUGCCGCUCCCACGAUGUUAUGCCACGGAUUGUUUUUUAAAAUGGAAGUUCUAGGGGCGCCCGGGUGGCUCAGUCGUUAAGCGUCUGCCUUCG